rnacentral:lncRNA from 1 species
CGAAGUUAUGCGUGCUUGGGCGAGAGUAGUACUAGGAUGGGUAACCCCUUGGGAAGUCCUCGUGUUGCAUCCAUUUUUUUGGCAAAAUUUGUAUCCUACUUCUUUUAAUAUAUCGACGGUAAAGCCAAUAAAUUCAAAAUGACUUUUACGCAUUGUAAACGAUGUUUUUUUUACAUGAAUGAUAAAAAAAAAAAUUAAAGAGGAUCGCCGGCCAAAUACGAUUUGAUAAUAAAAAUAAAGAAAAUAUUUAAAAAUUACGAUUAUCAACCACGACCUUAUGGGCUUUGCACCGUUGCACUUGACAUGUCACUACGCCUUGGUCUGGAAGGCGGCAUCCGUAAAAAUACAUAAAAUCAAAAGAGGAAUCGCGUAAAACGGAUAAAUGAGCAUAAAGUUAUGUCGUUUUAAGGCUUCACACUUUCGCACCUAGAGCGGAAGGAGGAAGGGUAAUAAGAAAAUUUAGAGUGCAAGGAAUGUCGGAUGCGAUCAUACCAGCACUAACGCACCGGAUCCCAUCAGAACUCCGAAGUCAAGCGUGCUUGGGCGAGAGUGGCACUAGGAUUGGUGACCCCCUAGGAAGUCCUCGUGUUGCAUCCCUUUUUUUGGCAAAAUUUGUAUCCUACUUCUUUUAAUAUAUCAACUGUAGAGCCAAUAAAUUCACAAAUGACUUUUACGCAUUGUAAACAAUUUUUUUUACAUGAAUGAUAAAAAAAAAUUAAAGAGGAUCUCCGGCCAAAUACGAUUUGAUAAUAAAAAUAAAGAAAAUAUUUAAAAAUUACGAUUUUUAACACGACCUUACGGGAUUAGCACCGUUGCACUUGACAUGUCACUACGCCUUGGUCUCGAAGGCGACAUCCGUAAAAAUACAUAAAAUCAAAAGAGGAAUCGCGUAAAACGGAUAAAUGAGCGUAAAGUUAUGUCGUUUUAUGGCUUCACACUUUCGCACCUAGAGCGGAAGGAGGAAGGGUAAUAAGAAAAUUUAGAGUGCAAGGAAUGUCGGAUGCGAUCAUACCUGCACUAACGCACCGGAUCCCAUCAGAACUCCGAAGUCAAGCGUACUUGGGCGAGAGUAGUACUAGGAUGGGUGACACCCUGGGAAGUCCUCGUGUUGCAUCCCUUUUUUUGGCAAAAUUUGUAUCCUACUUUUUUAAUAUAUCAACGGUAGAGCCAAUAAAUUCACAAAUGACUUUUACGCAUUGUAAACGAUAUUUUUUUUACAUGAAUGAUAAAAAAAAAAUUAAAGAGGAUCGUCGGCCAAAUACGAUUUGAUAAUAAAAAUAAAGAAAAUAUUUAAAAAUUAAGAUUAUCAACCACUACCUUACGAGCUUAGCACCGUUGCACUUGACAUGUCACUACGCCUUGGUCUCGAAGGCGGCAUCCGUAAAAAUACAUAAAAUCAAAAGAGGAAUCGCGUAAAAUGGAUAAAUGAGCGUAAAGUUAUGUCGUUUUAAGGCUUCACACUUUCGCACCUAGAGCGGAAGGAGGAAGGGUAAUAAGAAAAUUUAGAGUGCAAGGAAUGUCGGAUGCAAUCAUACCAGCGCUAACGCACCGGAUCCCAUCAGAACUCCGAAGUCAAGCGUGCUUGGGCGAGAGUAGUACU